GCCCCAGGUCAGUGUUGGUGCCGCUGUGGCCGUCGACCGCCGGCCGGAGUUGCGACCCGAUCCACGUAAUGCGCGGGAAGUCAUCCAUCGGCUCGCCGUCGUCCAUUCAGAGCUCCGCGAGGUUGCUCCGCUCUCGUCGUCAUCGCCCCAGAAGCGUCAUCAGCACGCGCCGACUGGCUCAAAAGGAAAGAUCCACUGCAGCAGCUCGGCUCGUCAUCGUCACCAGAAGCUGUCGAUUUCUUUGGAGCUUUCCUCGCCAUCCACCCCCUCCUCCAUCCGAUUCCCUGUGGUUCUACUUGAGUUCCUAUAGAGGCUUGGACUAUUUGUGUAGGUAAUAGCUCUUUUUAAUUCCUGUGUGCACAACAAGAAACAUCAUUAUCAGGCAGGUCGACCCGCGCAGAUGGGUGAGGGCGGAUCCCUCGGCUCCAUGCUAAGAUCUCUUCCUUAUCAGGUGUUUUUCUUUGGAGGCAAUAGCGAGAUCGAUGGACUGCUCAUUCCCUUUCCCCUGUUUUUUCGUGUACUAGAUCGGUCUUAACCAAGAUUGAACAACUAUUCGUAUCCUCUGCAAAUCAAAGAUCUCGUGCGCUAAAUUGCUCAAUUCCUCAGAUUCACCCUAUGUCCUCAAAUAGUCACAGAUCCAUUCCUCUUCAUAUCUAUCUUUUCUGGAUCCUACCCAAAAAAUCUUUUCUGAAUCCAAUUAGUUUGCUUCUUUUUUCUAUGCACGGCAGCUAGUUAUUUCAGUAUUUGUAGAUUAAUUGAGUUGUUCAUCAUGUAAUUUCGGGUUUGCAAUUUUGUUCAGGCUGUAGAAUUUGGCGAAAUCUUUUGUGCCACAUGGGUUACGUUGGAAAGGAAAUUCUGAUCCCAUGUAUAUGUGCCUUUGUUGCUGCUGGCUGCUUAUAAUUAAAUCGGCUGCCACUCGGUUCUUUGUCUUCCACUAUGAUUUUUUACUUGACACAUGAUACGUCAUGGCCUGAAGGAUCGAUCCUCUGCCACCCACUCUAACCAACAAGCUUCAGGCGAGAAGCAGAUGGCAAACAAUCAGCAUGAAUCCCCCGACCUCUGCUUACUCUGAAUCAAGCACAGCCUCUGAAGCGCCCUCUGAACAGGUGUUGAGUGUCAGGAUCGGCGACGAUGGCCACACGAUUUAUUUUGUGUCGUCAGCUUGAUUAAGUCUGAUAAAACUAAUAUGUGGCAUGCACAGAGAUAUUUGUAGAUAUAUUUUUAACACUUACUAUGAAAUAGCGUUUUCCA